UGGGGAAUUUUGGACAAUGGGCGAAAGCCUGAUCCAGCAAUGCCGCGUGUGUGAAGAAGGCCUUCGGGUUGUAAAGCACUUUUGUCCGGAAAGAAAUGGCUCUGGUUAAUACCUGGGGUCGAUGACGGUACCGGAAGAAUAAGGACCGGCUAACUACGUGCCAGCAGCCGCGGUAAUACGUAGGGUCCAAGCGUUAAUCGGAAUUACUGGGCGUAAAGCGUGCGCAGGCGGUUGUGCAAGACCGAUGUGAAAUCCCCGAGCUUAACUUGGGAAUUGCAUUGGUGACUGCACGGCUAGAGUGUGUCAGAGGGGGGUAGAAUUCCACGUGUAGCAGUGAAAUGCGUAGAGAUGUGGAGGAAUACCGAUGGCGAAGGCAGCCCCCUGGGAUAACACUGACGCUCAUGCACGAAAGCGGGGGGAGCAAACAGG
rnacentral:rRNA from 1 species